rnacentral:rRNA from 1 species
CCUACGGGCGGCUGCAGUGGGGAAUAUUGCACAAUGGGCGCAAGCCUGAUGCAGCGACGCCGCGUGGGGGAUGACGGCCUUCGGGUUGUAAACCUCUUUCAGUAGGGACGAAGCGCAAGUGACGGUACCUACAGAAGAAGGACCGGCCAACUACGUGCCAGCAGCCGCGGUAAUACGUAGGGUCCGAGCGUUGUCCGGAAUUACUGGGCGUAAAGAGCUCGUAGGUGGUUUGUCGCGUUGUUCGUGAAAACCUAAGGCUUAACCUUGGGCGUGCGGGCGAUACGGGCAGACUUGAGUACUGCAGGGGAGACUGGAAUUCCUGGUGUAGCGGUGGAAUGCGCAGAUAUCAGGAGGAACACCGGUGGCGAAGGCGGGUCUCUGGGCAGUAACUGACGCUGAGGAGCGAAAGCGUGGGGAGCGAACAGGAUUAGAUACCCUUGUAGUC